rnacentral:rRNA from 1 species
CAAAGGUAGCAUAAUCAUUAGUUUUUUAAUUGAAGGCUUGUAUGAAAGGUUGAACGUAAAUAAAACUUUUUUUUAUAUAAAAAAUUGAAUUUAAUUUUUAAGUUAAAAAGCUUAAUUUUUUUAAAAUGACGAUAAGACCCUAUAGAAUUUAAUAAUUUAAAUGUAAUUUAUUUUUUUUGUUGGGGUGACAUUAAAUAAACUUUUAUUUUAUUAAUCAUUUUAAAUGAGUAAAUGAUCCUAAAUUUUAGAUAAUUAGUUUUAAUUACCUUAGGGAUAACAGCAUAAUUUUUUUUAAAAGUUCUUAUUAGUAGAAAAGAUUAUGACCUCGAUGUUGAAUUAAGAUAAAAUAUUGGUGCAAAAUUUAAUAUUUUUAGUCUGUUCGACUUUAAAUUUUACAUGAUUUGAGUUCAAACCGGCGUGAGCCAGGUCGGCUUCUAUCAA